GAUGGUGAGUUUUCUCUGGGAUUAGGGCCUCAGUGCUCUCAGCCUGUGCUACCAUGCUUUGUGACCAUGAUCAGCAGCUGGCCUGCUCUGAGCCAGUCCCCAGGAAGGAGGGGUGAGGUUCGCCAGCCUGGCUGAUGUAAGGACUUCCCUUCCAGUCCUCUGUGAAGUUGCAGCUGCUCUGCAGCCAGUAUGAGAAGAUCCUGAAGCUCACGGCUGAUGUCAAGUUUGAGUCAGGCGAUGUGAAGGCCACAGUGGCAGUGCUGAGUUUCAUCCUCUCCAGUGCGGCCAAGCACAGUGUCGAUGGCGGAUCCUUGGCCAGUGAACUGCAGCAGCUGGGGCUGCCCAAAGGUAUGGGUUGUGGGUGGGCAGCUGGGCAGACUGUGUGGGCUAAGGGCUGCUGCCAAAGCCCUGUGACCCUGAGGUGUACUCUGCCUCGUCUGGGCCAGGAACCCAAGCCAAGCCCCCACCUGCUACCUCCAGAGCUACUCCAUUCUACCCCCAGAGCAAGCGGCCGGGCUGUGCCGCUGUUAUGAGGAGAAGCAAAGCCCCUUGCAGAAGCACUUGUGGAUCUGCAGCCUACGCAGCAAGUAUGAGGCCAGCCAGGGUCCAGG
rnacentral:lncRNA from 1 species